AACGAACGCUGGCGGCAUGCCUAACACAUGCAAGUCGAACGAGACCUUCGGGUCUAGUGGCGCACGGGUUCGUAACGCGUUGGAACCUGCCCUUAGGUUCGGAAUAACUCCCCGAAAGGUGUGCUAAUACCGGAUAAUGUCUUCGGACCAAAGAUUUAUCGCCUUUGGUUGGGCCCGCGUUGGAUUAGCUAGUUGGUAGGGUAAAAGCCUACCAAGGCGACGAUCCAUAGCUGGUCUGAGAGGAUGAUCAGCCACACUGGGACUGAGACACGGCCCAGACUACUACGGGAGGCAGCAGUGGGGAAUAUUGGAAAAUGGGCGAAAGCCUGAUCCAGCAAUGCCGCGUGAGUGAUGAAGGCGUUAGGGUUGUAAAGCUCUUUUAACCGGGAUGAUAAUGACAGUACCGGGAGAAUAAGCACCGGCUAACUACGUG
rnacentral:rRNA from 1 species